GUCUGAAUAGUUUAACUAAAAUUUAAGUUUGUGGUACUUAAGAUGUAAAAUAUUACUUUAGACU
rnacentral:tRNA from 1 species